rnacentral:tRNA from 1 species
GCAGGUGUCGUAUAAUGGUUAUUAUAUCUGCUUCCCAAGCAGAAGACGGCGGUCCGAUUCCGCUCACCUGCUCCA